GUGCAUCCAAAUUGAUUUCCAAGCAUAUGUAUGUUCCAUGCAAACCGUGCACCCAUCUUGCAUCAAGAUUAGCACUAUCUCCAAACAGACCGAACCAAGCUUCCACUUGAGCCUCUUCAUCUAGGAGUACAAACAGGUAUGUCAAAAAUGGUUUCUUAGACUAUGGUGCAUUAGGCACAAACUAUUGUUGGGUAUUCUUAACAUCAUUACCAAAAGUAGACUAAGUUCUCUAAAUCUAGUAACGGUGCCAAAAAUGCCAAACCUAUCCCUCAUACCACUUAAGCCAAGUUGUCAUCCCCAGCAUGAUAUAAGAGACGCGGUAUUGAAAUAUGCAAUUGCUCUUCUAAAUAAAUAAUGAAUGGGAUCUGCAAGCACACAGAUUAAUACCGAUGUAGCCUUUUAACCGGGAAGUAUUCCAGGUAUCGUUAUUUAUAUUUUUACCACUGGGAAGGGAUUCGCAAUCAUCACUAUUGAUUACAUAAUAGAAUAUGAGAUUGAGCAUCUAUCAUUGCAUGUAUAAUUGAGAACAUUAUAUCUAACUCUUCAUACAGGGAUAAGUGUCACAUAAAAUAUAUAUGAAGUAAUAAUAGUGACAAGGAUAAUUAAUCUGAUCUAGCCACAUAAUAAAUAUGAUAAGCACCUCAAUUAGAUACUCUAGAAAGUCAUUAGCAUGGUAUUAGAACGAACUACAAGAAUAUUCCCUAAGUUAUUCUCAACUAUAUAGUCUAGCAUUAUCAUAGUUAGUGCAAGCAUACUUAGCAAUCAUUGCGAGACAAGACUACGCCCAUGCAUAAUGAUAUUAGCAAGGAAUAUGAGAAACAUAGCAAUCACUCCCCUGUAAUAAUGUUGCUCUGCCAGCCCAAUACACGAGAGGGGGACUAUAUAAGAAUCAAUGAAGCUGUCACUAUCAUGAACCAGCCCACGAUCUGGCAUAUUGGGUACAAUCGCAGAUAAAUACGGUAUAAGCACCACGCCUACACAAUAUCUAUCAUUUACCCAUGGAUCCGAUGGAUAAACGCUAUACGAUCCUAAGCAUGUAUAUAGAUCGAAUCUAACUAAGCCAAGUACAUAACUAUGAUAAACUAAGAACAAUAUAAUCUUGAAUAUAAGCAAGUAGAGCAAAGUCAUAAGCAAUAUAUUGAAAUAGAACAAAGUCAUAUUCAUAAUAUUGAAGAACAAAGAUAAUUAGAAAGCUAGAACCACAAUUAGAGAAUUACCAAGAAUCCUCCUGACAGAUCCGGAAACCAAUCGAAGAUUGACUCCUUCUAGUUCUAAUCCUAUGUAGCUAUGCUAAUCUAGAUAUCUAAUUGAUGUGGUGGCUAUAAUCUUGAUCAGAGGCUUCUUCUCCCUUGAUGGAACAAUGAAUUAGGGUUGAGAGGCUCUCUCCUCCAGGGGCCAGGGGGUCUGGUUUUAUAGUCCCUCCAAGUGAAUACGGGCCGUUGGAUCAAACCGACAUAGAUUGUAUGGUUUAGAUUCAUCCUUUAGGUCGGUGGAGAUCUCCCGCGAAGCAGAGUCCUGAUUGGACUCAGGGGCAGGGCGGGCGCCCAGUAGGACAGGGCGGGCGCCCUGUCUCUGGCCCCGUUUCGCCUCCGCUUCGGUCUUGUGGCUUCUGGAGUCUUCUAGAUGUAAGAUAAUUGCGCAGCACGUUAAUAUCUUUACGUAAUCCCGACGUGUCGGCCUUUCUUCCGUAUUUCCUGAUAACCCCCUGCAGAAAUAGACAAACACCAAAACUCGUGGAAUUCUGUCAGAUAAAACCCUAAGUCUAGAUGUUGAUUUCAUUUGGAUCCUUUUCUUUAUUUAUUUGAUAAUUAAAUUUGAUACUUAAGGACCGUCAGCAAACUCCCCCAAGCUUACCUCUUGCUCGUCCCUGAGCAAGGAUAGACUCAGCUAUGGAUCAUAAGUUGUUGCAAUAUUUAAAAAUUGACGGUACACAUGCUUUUUAAAUAAGAUCUCAUCUCUGAGUUAGAGUAAACUGUCAAGACUUAAAACUUACUUACUUUACCUUCACCAUGGGACUUGUAACCAUCACUUCUAUCUUGAGUGGUUAAAAGAUAGAACAGUCUAGCCAAGUGCCAUGUCUCUUAUUCUUGAUCAGCUAUAGCUCUGGAGUUUUUGCAGUUUUUCAAAUAAAACUCAGAGACUCCUUGUAUGAUUCUCUCAGAUCUCUCUUUUGUGGUAUUUUUGGAUCCUUACCAAGGCAGUGAUGGUAUAUGCCUUCUCUCAAGAUAUGUGGUAUUUGUGGUAUAAAGCAUAGUGACAUUGCCUUCUCUCUCACCCUACUCUAAUAAGGCUUUAAUAUCUGGAGCUCAUAGGUGGGAGAUAAAUUAUACAUACUUACAAGACAUUUAUUGCAUAGUCAAACCAUGGAUCCAAAUAAACAAAUCAAUAAGCCAAAUCAAGAUGUGCAUGUGUGGCGAAUGAAUGGUGUAUGGUGAUGAUGGUGAUAACAAUGGUGGGAACAAUGGUGGUGGUCUAAUUCUACUUUGCUCUUUGAGGGGAUACAUACCUUCCUUGCUUUUUGAAACUUUAUGAGGAGAAUGAGAUGCUCUUCUUUUUCUUUUCUCUCAGGUGGGUAUCUGGUACCCCUAAUUCUACUGUCAGACACUUGUCCAUUUUUACCUCUCGUCUCACUUUUUUUUUCUCUCGAGGUUCCGAGCACUUGCUCCUUUUUAUUUCCUCGUAUAUAUAUAUAUAUUUUUAUAUUUUAUUUUCUUUUUAUUUUUUUCAGAGCAUUCAUCUCUUGAGAUAACAUAGCAAGUGGUAGUGACAAGAUAACUUGAGCAUUUAUUUCACAAGGGAAAAACAGGAAUAUUUUUGGUUAUUCUCUCCCGGAUUAGGAGUAGAACAUUUUUAGGUGGUUCUGGAGAUGGAAAUGGAUGGAUAUAUGUGGAUGGUACUUCCGGAGUAGAAGUAGCAUAUAUGAGUGGACGUGCAAGUGAAAUCUUGAUUUAACCACAUGACAAGCUCCUAAGGGUCUACACGGCUUGACCACACUCAAUGCUCAUAAGCAGUAAAUAAUAAAUGUGUGGCUCAAAGUCUAGCAAGCAUGUAUAUAUGGCUGUGGUAGGAAUUUAAACUCUCAUCAUACAGGAACUCAUCAUGCAACAUUUUAAAGAUUUUCAAAGAUAAAAUUCUCCAGAAUUCUAGCAUCUCUAGGAACAGAUAAACAGCAGCUCAACCUUUCCAUAUCAUAUCCGUUAACAACUUAGACUUUAGAUCAAGUUUUCAUCCCACAAGUUUAGGUCUAGAGCAAGCUUUAAAUUAUAACAGUUAUGUCUAAACUUGAGAGAGAACUUAAAAUGUGCAAAUUAGGCAGAGCAACUAUUCAUCAUAUCCAUGCUUAAGUUUUAUUUAGAUACAGAUUAGCAUAGCCACUUUAUUUAUUUAUUAAACACACUAAGCAAAAGACAAAUAUUUAUAUAAGUAGAAAAUCUUUAUUUAUUUUUUCAUAGUUUAUGUAUUUUAAUAUAAGUAUAAAGAUAGAUAGAUAGAAAUACUUAUCGAGAUAAAUGGGGGUGCUCUCCCCCAAGCUGAAUUUUGACGUAAUUUCUUUUGACGUAGCUAGCAGGUGGCAGAGGUGUAUUUGAAAGUCAGCAGCAUUCUGACAGCGAUUAGAAUGUCCUCCGUCUGCUAGUCUUCUUGAUUCUUAAAUUCUGUGGAGCUCAAAUAGACAACAAAGCUUGUGAAACUGAUUAAGUGUUAGCAUAAAUAUCUAGCCUUUAUCAUCUUGAGACUCCUUAAUAAUUAUUACUCCCUAUUUUUAUAUUUUUAUUUUAUAAAGCAGAAAAUAAAUAUUUAUUUUAUUUUAUGCCACCACAGUGAAUAUACUUAUGGGUUUUAUGCCAUUCGUAUACUCACAUGGGGCUUAUAUUUUUAUUUUCUUUUUAGGAUAAUACGAACAUAAUUAACUAAGUAAACUAUUUGAAAUAAUUGAAAGGGAAAGGAUAACUACCAAGUUUACCUCUUAGCAAGGCGUUCGGUGUUUUUAAGUCAUCCGAAUGGGACUCUCCAUUUUCUUAAUCGUCCUGAGGUUCGUUGGGUGGCGUAGUCGGUACUUCCGGCAGCGCCUCCUCUUCUUGUAUAGUUAUCUUCAUUUUCCAUACCUGACUCGGUGCUUCAAUCUCCUCUGGAUAAUUCUGUUUAAACUCUACAUCGUCUGACCUUAUCACUUCUCCUUCGUAGUCUGCCCAUCCGUCCCUGAUGAUCUGCCUCCUCUGGUUGCGGUUGCGUCUUUUCCUUACCUGCUUAGAUUCUUCAAUGAUAUAGUUAGGGUCAGUAAAAUAACGGCGUACCUUCUCUGAGGGGAAGUGCAUAUGGACUUCUCCGGUUUCAAUGUAGAUAAUUGCUUUAACAGUGCUGAGGAACGGUCUUCCAAGGAUGAUGGGUGGAUCAUACUCGUCUUCUCCCAUGUCAACAACUUGAAAGUCUGUGUAGACAAAGUGAUCGUCUAUUUUGACUGGGACAUCAGUUACUGUUCCUUUAACUUCUCAAAAUGUCUGAUCUGCCAUCUGGAGCUGAAUGUAUGUUGGUCUUAGUGGCAUGGUUCCGAACAAGAGCCGAUAGGUGCCUGUGGCCAUUAUGUUGACGCCCGAUCCGGUGUCGCAAAUCGUCUUGUAGAAGUUGUAUCCAUUUAUGGAGCAGUAGAUGCUUGGCAUUCCUGGGUCGUCCUUCUUGGUUAAAAACGGUGACUUAAGUUGAUGAUCUUGGCCUCCAUGAACUACAGUGACCAUCUUAGCUGACUCGGUCCACACUUGCUUGUUCCUGUUCCUCCUGUUGGUCCUCUUCCUUGAUUUAUGUCUGGAUUGAUCUGGAAUUUGUGUAGUCUUGUUCUUGAAGAAAAAUGUCUCCUUCUUCCCUUUGACGUAGAAACUGAUCUUGGCAGCACUAGCGUAGAUGAUAGCUCCCGUGGUGUUCAAGAAUGGCCUCCCUAAGAUGAUGGGUGCCCUCUCAUCAUUUCUGGUCUCUACUACUACGAAGUCUGCUGGGGCAUAUAAGGUACCAACUCGAACACAAAGGUUCUUCACUAUUCCUUUUGGAAAACUUAUCGCCUGAUCUACAAACUGCAAACACAUGGUUGUUUCUAAUAAAGGAUAUGUAAAGAAUUUUUCAUAGAGUACCCUGGGUACAAUGUUGACGCUAGAGCCAAAGUCGCAGAGUGCUUCUGGGACGUCCACCAUGCCGAUGGAGAUCGGGAUGACGGGGCGUCCUGGAUCGCCUCUCUUGACCGGCAGAAGGUCAGUAGAGAAUUCAUUGACGGGGUUACUCCAAUUACCUGCAUCAAACAUGUCUACAAGAUUUGCAGAUUCUAAUCCUUCCGGUUGUGAUGGUAUACCGGGGUUAGUAGCAGGAACAGCAGCAGCUAUUUGAUUUAACUAAGAUUCAAUCAUUUUAUUAAAGCUAAUUUGAUUCUUGAUGGCAGUAGAGAAAUUAUCCAUUCUAUUAUUUAUAUUUUCUAGCAUUUUAUCAUUAGAUGCCAAUUUCUUAGAUAGGUUAUCCAUUAGCUUUCCUUGAUUAGACACUAACUCUCUGAGAGGUGGAAAAUUAUUAUUACUGUUGUAAGAAUUGUUACCUUGAUAAUUACCUGAGUAGUUAGGCCUCUGUUGAUUCCAACCUUGAUUUUGUUGAGGACGGUUGUUGUAGUAGUAGUAGUUGUUGUUGAUGUAGUUCACAUCCUCAAGAUCUCAGGGCAGUGAUUGCCUGAGUGUCCAGUGUCUCCACACUCCUCACAAGUCAUGUGAGAGUCGUAGAUGUGCAUAACUUCCUUCUUAUCUCCAGCUCUAUUGUCGAGCUUCUUCAUGAGCAGGUCUAGCUUUGCAGACAGUAUGUCUACCUCCUUCAGCUGAUGCAUACCUCCACCUCUCUUGCGUGUCUGGGUCCUCUCUUCAUUCCAGCUUUGAUUGGACGCCAUCUUCUCCACAAGAGCUGUGGCUUGUGGUAUAGUAAGUGAUAAGAAUGCUCCUCCAGCUGCGGCAUCCAUGGUUUCUCGGGCACUGUUGCCGAGCCCAUGAUAAAAUGUCUGCAUUAGUAGCCAACUCUCCAUUCCAUGAUGGGGACAUUCUAGGAUGUAGUCUUGAAAGCGCUCCCAUGCUUCUGGAACAGAUUCAUCAUUUUGUUGCUGAAAACUUGUAAUCUUCCCACGGAGAGCAUUGGUCUUGCCCAUGGGAAAGAACUUUGCCAGGAAGUUUGUUGAGCAGAGUGCCACGUAGUAUUCUUCUCCUUUGUAGCGUAGAACCACUGCUUCGCUCUUCCUAAUAGUGAGAAUGGGAAGAGGCGAAGUAGUAUAGCAUCUUUGGAAACUCCUGAUAUGGUGAAUGUGUUGCAAAUCUCCAGGAAGUGUUGUAAAUGAGCACUAGCAUCUUCGUGUGCCUUCCGACAGAACUGGUUGGAUUGCACCAUGUUGAUAAGUCCAGGCUUGAGCUCAAAGUUGCCGUCGAUCUCUGCAGCAGGUCCAGUGCGGAUGUUGUCUGUAGUGGGAGCUGAGAACUCGCGGAUUGAUUUGUUCGCCAUGGCUUCGAACUCUGAAGACAAGUUCCGGUGAUCUUCUUGAUUGGAUGAAGCUUCUUGCUGAAGUGUUGAUGAUUUCUUUAGCUUGGCUCUCGUCUUCUUGAAUAAUGCUUCAGGAUUGUCAACAAAAUUUCUAGGAAGAUGUCUUCUAUUCAUACAUUCCUCUGCAUAAGAUAAAAUAGAAAAAUAUCGGGGUAAAACUGUAUGAGAGAAUAGAUAAGCUCAAUCAUAUUAGUGAUGCGAAUGAUAACUCAAAAUCUUUUAUUCCAUUCCUGAUUAGUAAUCAACCUUCCCCGGCAACGGCACCAAAAAUGCUUGUUGGGUAUUCUUAACAUCAUUACCAAAUGUAGACUAAGUUCUCUAAAUCUAGUAACGGUGCCAAAAAUGCCAAACCUAUCCCUCAUACCACUUAAGCCAAGUUGUCAUCCCCAGCAUGAUAUAAGAGACGCGGUAUUGAAAUAUACAAUUGCUCUUCUAAAUAAAUAAUGAAUGGGAUCUGCAAGCGCACAGAUUAAUACCGAUGCAGCAUUUUAACCGGGAAGUAUUCCAGGUAUCGUUAUUUAUAUUUUUACCACUGGGAAGGGAUUAGCAAUCAUCACUAUUGAUUAUAGAAUAGAAUAUGAGAUUGAGCAUCUAUCAUUGCAUGUAUAAUUGAGAACAUUAUAUCUAACUCUUCAUACAGGGAUAAGUGUCACAUAAAAGAUAUAUAAAGUAAUAAUAGUGACAAGGAUAAUUAAUCUGAUCUAGCCACAUAAUAAAUAUGAUAAGCACCUCAAUUAGAUACUCUAGAAAGUCAUUAGCAUGGUAUUAGAACGAACUACAAGAAUAUUCCCUAAGUUAUUCUCAACUAUAUAGUCUAGCAUUAUCAUAGUUAGUGCAAGCAUACUUAGCAAUCAUUGCGAGACAUGACUACGCCCAUGCAUAGUGAUAUUAGCAAGGAAUAUGAGAAACAUAGCAAUCACUCCCCUGUAAUAAUGUUGCUCUGCCAGCCCAAUACACGAGAGGGGGACUAUAUAAGAAUCAAUGAAGCUGUCACUAUCACGAACCACCCCACGAUCUGGCAUAUUGGGUACAAUCGCAGAUAAAUACAGUAUAAGCACCACGCCUACACAAUAUCUAUCAUUUACCCAUGGAUCCGAUGGAUAAACGCUAUACGAUCCUAAGCAUGUAUAUAGAUCGAAUCUAACUAAGCCAAGUACAUAACUAUGAUAAACUAAGAACAAUAUAAUCUUGAAUAUAAGCAAGUAGAGCAAAGUCAUAAGCAAUAUAUUGAAAUAGAACAAAGUCAUAUUCAUAAUAUUGAAGAACAAAGAUAAUUAGAAAGCAAUUAGAAGCACAAUUAGAGAAUUACCAAGAAUCCUCCUGACAGAUCCGGAAACCAAUCGAAGAUUGACUCCUUCUAGUUCUAAUCCUAUGUAUCUAUGCUAAUCUAGAUAUCUAAUUGAUGUGGUGGCUCUAAUCUUGAUCAAAGGCUUCUUCUCCCUUGAUGGAACAAUGAAUUAAGGUUGAGAGGCUCUCUCCUCCAGGGGCCAGGGGGUCUGGUUUUAUAGUCCCUCCAAGUGAAUACGGGCCGUUGGAUCAAACCGACAUAGAUUGUAUGGUUUAGAUU
rnacentral:lncRNA from 1 species